rnacentral:rRNA from 1 species
UGACCUCGAAUCAGGUAGGGAUACCCGCUGAACUUAAGCAUAUCAAUAAGCGGAGGAAAAUAAACCAACARGGAUUACUUCAGUAACGGCGAGUGAAGCGGUAACAGCUCAAAUUUAAAAUCUGGCCUCACGGUCCGAGUUGUAAUUUGUAGAGGAUGUCUCGAACGUGGUCCGGUCUAAGUUCCUUGGAACAGGACGUCAUAGAGGGUGAGAAUCCCGUAUGCGACUGGGUGCCUUAGUUCAUGUGAAACUCCUUCGACGAGUCGAGUUGUUUGGGAAUGCAGCUCAAAAUGGGUGGUAAAUUUCAUCUAAAGCUAAAUAUUGGCUCAGAGACCGAUAGCGCACAAGUAGAGUGAUCGAAAGAUGAAAAUCACUUUGGAAAGAGAGUUAAACAGUACGUGAAAUUGUUGAAAGGGAAGCGCUUGCAAUCAGACUUGCACGCAGUUGAUCAUCCGGUGUUCUCACCGGUGCACUCGAUUGUGUUCAGGCCAGCAUCGGUUUCGGUGGUUGGAUAAAGGCCUUGGCAACGUAGCUCCUUUCGGGGACUGGUAUAGCCCUCGGNCAAUGCAGCNUNCCGGGACCGAGGACCGCGUYUCGCAUAGGAC